rnacentral:rRNA from 1 species
UACGUAGGUGGCAAGCGUUGUCCGGAUUUAUUGGGUUUAAAGGGUGCGUAGGCGGUUUUGUAAGUCAGUGGUGAAAUACUCCAGCUUAACUGGAGGGGUGCCAAUGAUACUGCAGAACUUGAGUACAGAUGAGGUAGGCGGAAUUGACGGUGUAGCGGUGAAAUGCAUAGAUAUCGUCAAGAACACCGAUAGCGAAGGCAGCUUACUGGGCUGUAACUGACGCUGAGGCACGAAAGCGUGGGGAGCAAACAGG